rnacentral:rRNA from 1 species
CCUACGGGUGGCAGCAGUGGGGAAUAUUGGGCAAUGGACGCAAGCCUGACCCAGCAACGCCGCGUGAAGGAAGAAGGCUUUCGGGUUGUAAACUUCUUUUAAGGGGGAAGAGCAGAAGACCAUACCCCUUUAAUAAGCCCCUGCUAAACACGUGCCAGCAGCCGCGGUAAUACGUAGGUGGCAAGCGUUGUCCGGAUUUACUGGGUGUAAAGGGCGUGCAGCCGGGGAGACAAGUCAGAUGUGAAAUCCACUGGCUCAACCCGUGAACUGCAUUUGAAACUUUUUCCCUUGAGUGUCGGAGAGGGAAGCGGAAUUCCUGGUGUAGCGGUGAAAUGCGUAGAUAUAAGGAAGAACACCAGUGGCGAAGGCGGAUUACUGGACGAUAACUGACGGUGAGGCGCGAAAGCGUGGGGAGCAAACAGGAUUAGAUACCCGGGUAGUC